UACGGCGGCGGGACAGUUCGCAAGAACUGCCUGAGGAAAGUCCGGGCUUCACAGAGGCAUGACAACUGCUAACGGCAGCCGGGGGCGACCCCAGGGAUAGUGCAACAGAAAGAAACCGCCGCGUUUUUCGCGGUAAGGAUGGAAAGGCGAGGUAAGAGCUCACCAGCGCACUGGCGACUUUGCGGCUAUGUAAACCCUGUCUGAAGCAACAUCCGUAUGGGACAUGAUGCGGAGCCUCGCGCGUCCCGGUGAUGGCGUGAGCCUUGCGGCGACGCAAGGCCAAGAUAGAUCGUCGUUUGAUACAGAACCCGGCUUACGGUCCAGUC
rnacentral:RNase_P_RNA from 1 species